AGCGAACGCUGGCGGCAGGCCUAACACAUGCAAGUCGAACGAGCUCUUCGGAGCUAGUGGCAGACGGGUGAGUAACGCGUGGGAACGUGCCCUUUGGUUCGGAACAACUCAGGGAAACUUGAGCUAAUACCGGAUGUGCCCUUCGGGGGAAAGAUUUAUCGCCAUUGGAGCGGCCCGCGUUGGAUUAGGUAGUUGGUGAGGUAAAGGCUCACCAAGCCUACGAUCCAUAGCUGGCUGAGAGGAUGAUCAGCCACACUGGGACUGAGACACGGCCCAGACUCCUACGGGAGGGCAGCAGUGGGGAAUCUUGCGCAAUGGGCGAAAGCCUGACGCAGCCAUGCCGCGUGAAUGAU
rnacentral:rRNA from 1 species